GCACCGGUGGUGCACGGUGCACGCUGCCAUUAAAUCCAGGUGCAUAAUUUAGUGUCUCGGGCAGACCGGGGUUUGAUUCCCUGCCGGUGCA